rnacentral:rRNA from 1 species
UACAGAGGGUGCAAGCGUUGUUCGGAAUUAUUGGGCGUAAAGGGCGUGUAGGCGGUUUGCUAAGUCAUGUGUGAAAUCCCCCGGCUUAACCGAGGAACGACGCAUGAUACUGGCAAGCUAGAGUACCAAAGAGGGGGGUGGAAUUCCCGGUGUAGCGGUGAAAUGCGUAGAUAUCGAGAGGAACACCAGUGGCGAAGGCGAGUCCCUGGACAACACCUGACACUGAGGCACGAAAGCUAGGGGAGCAAACAGG